UCAACCAAAUAUCACACCUUACUAUCGAAUGUUUCUUUCCCCCCUCUUCAUCCCAGGUCUAUAUAUAUAUAUAUAUAUAUAUAUAUAAAACAAGGCUGAAAUACUAUCAAUAGCACCAAGCUAUUAGUGCUAUUAAUUUUUUAACCUUUGGAUUGAGAAAUGUAUGGCUAGNAACAAGACUGGAAUACUAUCAAUAGCACCAAGCUAUUAGUGCUAUUAAUUUUUUAACCUUUGGAUUGAGAAAUGUAUGGCUAGGAUGAUGUGGGCCCCAUAGAGUGAGUGGUUGGUUGAAUAAUAUAAUCUAACGGAUAAAAAUAAUCAAAGUGUUAAAUUUAACGGUGGAAAACUCGAUAGCACCAAAUUCUUGGUCCUAUCGAUAGUAUCCAAGCCGGACUCUCUCUCUCUCUCUCUCUCUCUCUCUCUCUCUCUCUAUAUAUAUAUAUAUAUAUAGUUGAGCUAGAAUACUCUCAAAAAUACUAAAAGGGUGGUGUGGUGCUUUUGAGUUUUUAAUCAUUGGAUUGAGAGAUGUAGGGUUGAGAUGAUUGUGAUAGAUGGUGAUAGGUGAUGGUAGGUGGAAUAGUAUUUGAUCCAAUGGGUAUUAGUAAUUGGAAAGUAGAUUCAAGGACUAAAAAUUUAGAAGCAUCAAGAAAUUAGUGCUUUUAAAAAUAUUCUACUCAAUUAUAUAUAUAUAUAAUAUGAUUGGUUUCAUUGGCAGUAUAA
rnacentral:lncRNA from 1 species